GACGAACGCUGGCGGCGUGCUUAACACAUGCAAGUCGAACGGAAAGGCCCUGCUUUUGUGGGGUGCUCGAGUGGCGAACGGGUGAGUAACACGUGAGUAACCUGCCCUUGACUUUGGGAUAACUUCAGGAAACUGGGGCUAAUACCGGAUAGGAGCUCCUGCUGCAUGGUGGGGGUUGGAAAGUUUCGGCGGUUGGGGAUGGACUCACGGCUUAUCAGCUUGUUGGUGGGGUAGUGGCUUACCAAGGCUUUGACGGGUAGCCGGCCUGAGAGGGUGACCGGCCACAUUGGGACUGAGAUACGGCCCAGACUCCUACGGGAGGCAGCAGUGGGGAAUAUUGCACAAUGGGCGGAAGCCUGAUGCAGCAACGCCGCGUGCGGGAUGAUGGCCUUCGGGUUGUAAACCGCUUUCGCCUGUGACGAAGCGUGAGUGACGGUAAUGGGUAAAGAAGCACCGGCUAACUACGUG
rnacentral:rRNA from 1 species